rnacentral:rRNA from 1 species
AACGCGAAGAACCUUACCCCCCUUUUAGAUGCCCGGUAUGAUUUCCAAAAAUGGCUUUCUUCCUGCAAGGGGCCGGAACACAGGUGCUGCAUGGCUGUUGUCAGCUUGUGUUGUGAGAUGUUGGGUUAAGUCCCGCAACGAGCGCCACCCUCGCCCUUAGUUGCCAUCAUUUAGUUGGGCACUCUAAGGGGACUGCCGGUGAUAAACCGGGAGGAAGGUGGGGAUGACGUCAAGUCCUCAUGGCCCUUACGGGCUGGGCUACACACGUGCUACAAUGGCGGUGACAAUGGGAAGCGAAGGGGCGACCUGGAGCUAAUCUCAAAAAGCCGUCUCAGUUCGGAUUGCACUCUGCAACUCGAGUGCAUGAAGGUGGAAUCGCUAGUAAUCGCACAUCAGCAUGCG